GACGAACGCUGGCGGCGUGCCUAACACAUGCAAGUCGAGCGAUGAAGUUUCCUUCGGGAAAUGGAUUAGCGGCGGACGGGUGAGUAACACGUGGGUAACCUGCCUCAUAGAGGGGAAUAGCCUCCCGAAAGGGAGAUUAAUACCGCAUGAUAUUACAGUUUCGCAUGAAACAGUAAUUAAAGGAGCGAUCCGCUAUGAGAUGGACCCGCGGCGCAUUAGCUAGUUGGUGAGGUAACGGCUCACCAAGGCGACGAUGCGUAGCCGACCUGAGAGGGUGAUCGGCCACAUUGGGACUGAGACACGGCCCAGACUCCUACGGGAGGCAGCAGUGGGGAAUAUUGCACAAUGGGGGAAACCCUGAUGCAGCAACGCCGCGUGAGUGAUGACGGUCUUCGGAUUGUAAAGCUCUGUCUUUGGGGACGAUAAUGACGGUACCCAAGGAGGAAGCCACGGCUAACUACGUGCCAGCAGCCGCGGUAAGAC
rnacentral:rRNA from 1 species